GCUAUACAUGCAAGUCGAACGAACUCUGGUAUUGAUUGGUGCUUGCAUCAUGAUUUACAUUUGAGUGAGUGGCGAACUGGUGAGUAACACGUGGGAAACCUGCCCAGAAGCGGGGGAUAACACCUGGAAACAGAUGCUAAUACCGCAUAACAACUUGGACCGCAUGGUCCGAGUUUGAAAGAUGGCUUCGGCUAUCACUUUUGGAUGGUCCCGCGGCGUAUUAGCUAGAUGGUGAGGUAACGGCUCACCAUGGCAAUGAUACGUAGCCGACCUGAGAGGGUAAUCGGCCACAUUGGGACUGAGACACGGCCCAAACUCCUACGGGAGGCAGCAGUAGGGAAUCUUCCACAAUGGACGAAAGUCUGAUGGAGCAACGCCGCGUGAGUGAAGAAGGGUUUCGGCUCGUAAAACUCUGUUGUUAAAGAAGAACAUAUCUGAGAGUAACUGUUCAGGUAUUGACGGUAUUUAACCAGAAAGCCACGGCUAACUACGUGCCAGCAGCCGCGGUAAUACGUAGGUGGCAAGCGUUGUCCGGAUUUAUUGGGCGUAAAGCGAGCGCAGGCGGUUUUUUAAGUCUGAUGUGAAAGCCUUCGGCUCAACCGAAGAAGUGCAUCGGAAACUGGGAAACUUGAGUGCAGAAGAGGACAGUGGAACUCCAUGUGUAGCGGUGAAAUGCGUAGAUAUAUGGAAGAACACCAGUGGCGAAGGCGGCUGUCUGGUCUGUAACUGACGCUGAGGCUCGAAAGUAUGGGUAGCAAACAGGAUUAGAUACCCUGGUAGUCCAUACCGUAAACGAUGAAUGCUAAGUGUUGGAGGGUUUCCGCCCUUCAGUGCUGCAGCUAACGCAUUAAGCAUUCCGCCUGGGGAGUACGGCCGCAAGGCUGAAACUCAAAGGAAUUGACGGGGGCCCGCACAAGCGGUGGAGCAUGUGGUUUAAUUCGAAGCUACGCGAAGAACCUUACCAGGUCUUGACAUACUAUGCAAAUCUAAGAGAUUAGACGUUCCCUUCGGGGACAUGGAUACAGGUGGUGCAUGGUUGUCGUCAGCUCGUGUCGUGAGAUGUUGGGUUAAGUCCCGCAACGAGCGCAACCCUUAUUAUCAGUUGCCAGCAUUAAGUUGGGCACUCUGGUGAGACUGCCGGUGACAAACCGGAGGAAGGUGGGGAUGACGUCAAAUCAUCAUGCCCCUUAUGACCUGGGCUACACACGUGCUACAAUGGAUGGUACAACGAGUUGCGAACUCGCGAGAGUAAGCUAAUCUCUUAAAGCCAUUCUCAGUUCGGAUUGUAGGCUGCAACUCGCCUACAUGAAGUCGGAAUCGCUAGUAAUCGCGGAUCAGCAUGCCGCGGUGAAUACGUUCCCGGGCCUUGUACACACCGCCCGUCACACCAUGAGAGUUUGUAACACCCAAAGUCGGUGGGGUAACCUUUUAGGAACCAGCCGCCUAAGGUGG
rnacentral:rRNA from 2 species